rfam:Gossypium raimondii Chr10_contig_20, whole genome shotgun sequence.
UAUUAAAUAUUUCAUUCAUUUCUACUAUUAAAAACUAUCAUAAUUAAUAGAAUAAUCAUAUAGUAACAUGUGGUCUGCCAAGUGUACCUCGUCCUGCCGUACAUGGACUAAUCUUUAACAAUAGAUUUGAAUGAAAUUUUUAAUA